rnacentral:rRNA from 1 species
UACGUAGGUGACCAGCGUUGUCCGGAUUUACUGGGCGUAAAGAGCGCGCAGGCGGUCGUUCAAGUCGAGUGUGAAAGCCCCCGGCUCAACUGGGGAGGGUCACUCGAUACUGAUCGACUUGAAGGCAGGAGAGGGAAGCGGAAUUCCCGGUGUAGUGGUGAAAUGCGUAGAUAUCGGGAGGAACACCAGUGGCGAAGGCGGCUCACUGGACCGGAACUGACGCUGAGGCGCGAAAGCUAGGGUAGCAAACGGG